rnacentral:piRNA from 1 species
UCUGUUCAGUGUGGGUCAAAGGG